rnacentral:rRNA from 1 species
GACGAACGCUGGCGGCGUGCUUAACACAUGCAAGUCGAACGGAAAGGCCCUGCUUUUGUGGGGUGCUCGAGUGGCGAACGGGUGAGUAACACGUGAGUAACCUGCCCUUGCCUUUGGGAUAACUUCAGGAAACUGGGGCUCAUACCGGCUAGGAGCUCCUGCUGCAUGGUGGGGGUUGGAAAGUUUCGGCGGUUGGGGAUGGACUCGCGGCUUAUCAGCUUGUUGGUGGGGUAGUGGCUUACCAAGGCUUUGACGGGUAGCCGGCCUGAGAGGGUGACCGGCCACAUUGGGACGGAGAUACGGCCCAGACUCCUACGGGAGGCAGCAGUGGGGAAUAGUGCACUAUGGGCGGAAGCCUGAUGCAGCAACGCCGCGUGCGGGAUGACGGCCUUCGGGUUGUAAACCGCUUUCGCCUGUGACGAAGCGUGAGUGACGGUAAUGGGUAAAGAAGCACCGGCUAACUACGUG